rnacentral:rRNA from 1 species
CAGCCGCCACGGUAAUACGUAGGUGGCGAGCGUCGUCCGGAUUUAUUGGGCGUAAAGGGAGUGUAGGCGGUCUUUUAAGUCUGAUGUGAAAGCCCACGGCACAACCGUGGAGGGUCAUUGGAAACUGGGAGACUUGAGUGCAGAAGAGGAGAGCGGAAUUCCAUGUGUAGCGGUGAAAUGCGUAGAUAUAUGGAGGAACACCAGUGGCGAAGGCGGCUCUCUGGUCUGUAACUGACGCUGAGGCUCGAAAGCGUGGGGAGCGAACAGGAUUAGAUACCCGGGUAGUCCCUGUCUCUUAUAC